UAGAAAGAGAUGCUCCGCCUACUUUUUCGUUCGUGUCAGUGCUCAGUGGAGCCAAGUUGCAAGUUGCACACAGCAGCAAAAAUGUGGUGUAGAGAAAAAAAGCUUGUCGUAAGUUUAUACCAGAACUGCACAAGAGACGCAUGAAAGUUUUCUCGUGGUCGAAAGGUUGUUCUGUUGGAACCGGAUUAUCACAUUGGUUAUGUUAUGUACUGUGGCUAUAUGGUAUAUAUGUGUUUAAAUUAGGAGAACAUUUCAUUUAAAUCAGCUCUAAGGUAUUUUAUGAUUACUGUAUAUGGUAAAUGAAAGCACCACCAAAUUACUAACCUAUCUAAAAUUUAAAUUGAACCACUUUGAGCUCCAGUUUUUGUGUUGAAAAAGGCCACAUCAUAAAGGUUUUUCAGGGUUUGGAUUACCUGUAGGUGUUUGUUCAUAAAUUUGGUGCCAAGCAGGAUGUCUAUGGAUAAGUGAGAUGGCAGUUUGAUAGCCAGUGUUCAUUCAUUGGGUAACUUUGCCAUGUGACCUUGCUAUGAGGUUUUUCAUGGUUUCUGCUGAAUCUGAACG